UGAUAUGGUGUGGGUGGGGGUGACAGAGUGUGUGUGUGUGGAGGGGUGACAGGGUGUGUGGCUGGCUGUUGGAUGACAGGGUAGGGGGGAUGGGAUAGGUUGACAGGGCUGAGAUGGGGCCUGUGACAUGGUAGGGGGGCUGUGACAGGGUAGGGGGUGGAGUGGCUGUGACAUGGGGUAGAAGGGGUGGAGGGGCUGUGACAGAGGGUGGAGGGGCUGUGACAGGGGGUAGAGGUAGUGGAGGGGCUGUGACAGUGGGUAGAGGAAGAUGGAGGGGCUGUGACAGGGGGAAAAGGGGUGAUGUGGCUGUGACAGGGGGUAGAGAAGGCUGGAGUGGCUGAGACAAGGGGUAGAGGGGUUGUGACAG